rnacentral:rRNA from 1 species
AGCAGCCGCGGUAAUUCCAGCUCCAAUAGCGUAUAUUAAAGUUGUUGCAGUUAAAAAGCUCGUAGUUGAAUUUCGGGAUCAGUAUGUUGGUCGUGCUUCGGUACGUACUGUCAUUACUGGUUUCUACCUUCUGAAGAACCUUGAUGUCAUUAAUUUGGUGUCUUGGGGAAUCAGGACUGUUACUUUGAAAAAUUAGAGUGUUUAAAGCAAGCAUACGCUUGAAUACAUUAGCAUGGAAUAAUGAAAUAGGACGUUUGAUUCUAUUUUGUUGGUUUCUAGGAUCGACGUAAUGAUUAAUAGGGAUAGUUGGGGGCAUUAGUAUUCAAUUGUCAGAGGUGAAAUUCUUGGAUUUAUUGAAGACUAACUACUGCGAAAGCAUUUGCCAAGGAUGUUUUCAUUAAUCAAGAACGAAAGUUAGGGGAUCGAAGACGAUCAGAUACCGUCGUAGUCUUAACCAUAAACUAUGCCGACUAGGGAUCGGAUGAUGUAUUUUUAAUGACUCAUUCGGCGCCUUAAC